rnacentral:rRNA from 1 species
ACCAGACUCCUACGGGAGGCAGCAGUGGGGAAUAUUGGGCAAUGGGCGCAAGCCUGACCCAGCAACGCCGCGUGAAGGAAGAAGGCUUUCGGGUUGUAAACUUCUUUUGACAGGGAAGAGCAGAAGACGGUACCUGUCGAAUAAGCCACGGCUAACUACGUGCCAGCAGCCGCGGUAAUACGUAGGUGGCAAGCGUUAUCCGGAUUUACUGGGUGUAAAGGGAGCGUAGGCGGUUUAGCAAGUCAGAAGUGAAAGCCCGGGGCUCAACUCCGGGACUGCUUUUGAAACUGUUGAACUAGAUUGCAGGAGAGGUAAGUGGAAUUCCUAGUGUAGCGGUGAAAUGCGUAGAUAUUAGGAGGAACGCCAGUGGCGAAGGCGGCCUGCUGGACGACAACUGACGGUGAGGCGCGAAAGCGUGGGGAGCAAACAGGAUUAGAUACCCGUGUA